AUUAAAACUAGUGACAUCUAUUUUAAAUAGUUUAAAGUUGAGACUUGGCUUCAAUUCUAAUAUGCCUAUUUUAACCCAUCUCUUCCUGUGUUAUUUAGAAUAAGCCGGGCCUUGAGAAUGUAAAAAAAAUCAUCAUGGAGUGGGACUCCUGAGGAAAGAAAUGACCAUAUCAGUAUGAAUUUCAGUCCAAGACACACUGAGCUGCCCGCUGGAACCCCCAGGUGCAGCAAGGGCAUACCAUCUGGUGAAGAAGAAGUGUUUCUGGACGAGGAGGUUCAAGAGGAAGUACACCACCCCUUCUGCUGCCAUGGCAAUCAGGUUCUUCCCAAUCAGGUCCCACUGGAAUGGAUUUGGGGAGUGCUCCUCACCUGGAGAUUUGAGGCCACUGAACAUCAAUAGGGUUUGAGUCUGUGUCAGCUGCCCCAGGUACCCCCUAAAAACCUGGCUACAAUAGGCCCAACUGGACCAGGCCUCAUGCAAGGGAUUAAGUAAGAGCCAAACAUGAGUCUCAUCUUGGCUUUCAAGUCAAAGAGGGAGAGAGUAAAAACCUGCCCUCUGCCCCUCCUGUGACUCCUGAGCCAUGAGAACAGAGGCACCCUAAUCCCUCCUGGGUGGCAGAAUAAACCCAAGCCAACACAGUGCCUUUCCACCCCAGCCCAGGGUACAGAUAUGAUUGUAUCCUGCAAUCCUCUCUGCCUCAAUGGAUCCAGGGCCUGUGCUCCAUGGACCUUGAAUGCCACCCACCAAACCGGGCAUAGACGUCUGUCACAGCCUGACUCAGGGCCAGGUCAAUGAGGCCCCGGCCCAGGCAGAAGUGGGGGAAGAUAAUGAGCAGCUUCCUCAGCAUGGCGUUGAACCUGAGUAGCAUCUGAAACAGAAGGACAACUGUUAGAUAUAAGGGCUGAUGCUGCCUACCCUGUCCUGAGCAGGUGGGCCGGGAUGCCCUCUCAGGGUGGGAGCAGAGGAGGUCUGCAGGAAAAGGACUUCCAGCUAGACUGGCCACAGGAGGGAUUGGUCAGGCAGGAUGCAGAGGGUUUGAUGUAGCCAUCCUGAAGUA
rnacentral:lncRNA from 1 species